GUUUAUUUUGUUCCAUCUUGGAGAUGUCGGGGUUCCAUGUCCUUGUUUACAAGGAGAACCUACUUGGAGUUGCCCUGCAUUCCUAUGACAUCAAUGUAUUUUAUCUGAU
rnacentral:snoRNA from 1 species